CCUACGGGUGGCUGCAGUGAGGAAUAUUGGUCAAUGGCCGGAAGGCUGAACCAGCCAUGCCGCGUGAAGGUCAGUGCCCUAUGGGCGUUAAACUUCUUUUGUGCGGGAGCAAUAAUGGUCACGUGUGGCCAGACGAGAGUACCGUACGAAUAAGCAUCGGCUAACUCCGUGCCAGCAGCCGCGGGAAUACGGGGGAUGCAAGCGUUUUCCGGCUUUCUUGGGUUUAAAGGGUGCGUAGGCUGGGAGGUAAGUCAGCGGUGAAAUGCCCCCGCUCCACGGGGUGAAGUGCCAUUGAUACUGCCGGGCUGGACUGCGGAUGCCGUUGGCGGGAUGUGUGGUGUAGCGGUGAAAUGCAUCGAUAUCACACAGAACACCGAUUGCGAAGGCAUCUCACGAAUCCGCGAUUGACGCUGAUGCACGAACGCGUGGGUAUCAAACAGGAUUAGAUACCCCUGUAGUC
rnacentral:rRNA from 1 species